GGGAAAAGACCAUUUGUGGAACUCAAGGAAAGUUUGGUAUUGGUAACAGCAGAGCCAACUUCUUCAACAGUAGAAGCAUACUUGUCUAAAGAUACUGGCAUGUUAAAUGCGUAAAGUUCUAAUCCUGAAAAAAACACAUUUGCGUGUGUUGGUGUACAAAUAUCGAGUCUGCAAACAGCACCUGACUGACACUUCUUAUAGCACCAUGGAAGCCCAAUUGCUGAAAAAUUCCCAGAGUUAAUUGUACACAUUUUCAGCGCAUGGUGGGCAUUGCUGUGUGCACACAGCUUUUUCACGUUGCAUUUGCUUAUGCCAGGAGUUAAGCACAAUAUGCUCAGUCUGCACUAGGACAGCUGGAAGGAAAUUUGAUAUUCUGCACAAAAGGAUCAUCAGUCAGGAACAUUACAACAUCUUAAAAGGUAAUUGCAAAAUACAUCCAAAGCAGCUGCAGAUCUCUCACAAGCAGGGAAAAGUUAAAUGAAGGACUAAAAUUUCUCAUCCCAAACUCUGCUCAUCUCCAUUGUGGUUCAACUCUGAACACACAGAGCUCCCUGACUCUAUCUGGGAAAAUAACAUCAUAUUACGUGUAUAAAUGAGCAGUGCAGAUUCAUGUAAUGAUUUGGGUUGGAAGGGACCUUAAAGAUCACCUAGUUCCACCGCAGGCAUGGAAGGUAAAAACAUCAUCUGCUUAAAAGUAAGCACUUUCUUAAGUAUUGUGCUGGAUAGAGCUAGAGCGCUGGCAACUAGUAGAGAAAAAAUACUUUACAUUAAUGUCUCAGUCUUGUAUUAAUGGUAAUAGUCUGACAAUUUGUCUUCAAAAUCUUUAAGCCAAGGCAGUAGGGUAUUUGCAAGGCACUUCCUUCAGAUGUCCCAGAAUGUCAAUCUGUAAGGGUUUCGUGCACAAUUAGAAAGAGGAAUCGAUAAUAACACCGCUAGCCUGACCUAAUGGAUUCAUGUAACUAUCAGCAGACUUUUUCACAGCGUUCCCUCAAAAUACACAAGGAUAAUACAAUCAAUAGCACUUUGCUUUAAUUAUGCCCUCGAGGAAUGCAGGAUUACAAUAGAAGUGCAAUUUUUUAAAUGAGCAGAAUGCAGCAAGCAGUCCAGAGGAAGAACACAACUGAUGGUGACUGUAGAAAUAAUGAAUGUACAUCCCGUAACUAACUGCUUUCUUCUGAAUGUGCAGACGUGUUGCAUGGUAGCUAGUAGGCCUCUACUUUUUAAACACACACAGCUUUAAUAGUUACACAAAACUGUGCCAAGGCUACCUCUGAAAGAAGAUUAAGGUUUGCAGUAAUGAAGUGCUUCUGGUGGCUGCGCAUCAUUUGACUGCAAGGAGAUAAGGACAGGCCUUGAAGGAGACUUUUUAGCUGGAAUAUAGUUAGGGCUAUGAAAAAUGCUAGAGGUGGUUUGGACUCAAAUUCACAUAAAAAAUGUAUUACUGGAGUAGCUCUUCAAAAUCAACUGUGGAUAUGAGCUUGGAUUAGAAUUGAUUACCUAUCACUGGAGCCAAAGAACAUUCCACCUGUUCUUUGUUUGUUUGUUUUACAAGCAAAGCAAAACAUUCAUCUUCAAAUCUCCCUAAUCAGGUCAGUUAUCAACCACUGCUGCUUAGUGUUUCAAAGUCACCUACAAUGCAUUACAAAAUCUGGGUAGUUCUGCAUUCCAUAGGAGAAUGCGUGUUCAUUCCCUUACACCAGGCCAGGUCCUGUUUGCGGAGAUGCUAAUAAAGCAGAACUCUGGAGAAGUCUCUCUUGGUGGUGGUUGGGACGUGCCUUGGUCAGGGCAGUGGUGUAUGUGAGACGCCAGUUAUGCUUUGGUCUGAAUAGAGAACUCCCAGAGACUUUCUGAGGUAGCCGUGAAUGAAGAAGAAGCCCCAGACAACAGUAGAGAAAUAGCAUAGCACCGUGAUCCACAGAAUGGUUUUCUGAGCACCAGUCUUUCCCUUGUGAGCAAAGUCCUGCACUUUACUUUCGAUUUUUGUGGAAUUCUGGCCAUCUUGAUUCCAAUAUCAACCACACACAAAGCAGGUUUAUGAAUUCAUUUCCUUCACAUCAGUGAUGCCUACUUUUAGCAACAAAGACUGUUCAUGUUGUUUGCAUUUCUGUUACAAGUUCUUCAUGCACACUUGGCAGCGGCUGACCCUCGUCCGAAGCUGUCCUGCUUUCAGAGUUUCAGAGGGAGGAGCACCGACAAACUGCUGUGACUGCUCAACAGUGGUCAGCCAGAAGCUGUACUUGUUUGCAAAGUAGUGGCAUGUUCCCCUGGCACCAUUGCAUUCAAUGAAGGGUGUAGCACGGAAAUCCUCCAGGCAAGAACCAGGUGAGACAAGCGACUGACCUCCACCCUCUGCACCAGCUGCUGUGUGCAUUAGGAAGGAGUAUCCUAUCCAGAGGCUGCGC
rnacentral:lncRNA from 1 species